UACGGAGGGUGCAAGCGUUAUCCGGAUUUAUUGGGUUUAAAGGGUCCGUAGGCGGCCAACUAAGUCGGAUGUGAAAUCCCCAGGCUCAACCUGGGAACUGCAUCCGAUACUGGAUGGCUUGAAUCCGGGAGAGGGAUGCAGAAUUCCAGGUGUAGCGGUGAAAUGCGUAGAUAUCUGGAGGAACACCGGUGGCGAAGGCGGCAUCCUGGACCAACACUGACGCUGAGGAGCGAAAGCCAGGGGAGCAAACGGG
rnacentral:rRNA from 1 species